rfam:Lyngbya sp. PCC 8106 1099428180559, whole genome shotgun sequence.
AGGAGCGGAGUGAAAGGAAACUUUCACGCUCCGUUCUGGAGGGAAGUAGGAGAAAGUAAUUUCUCCUACUCACCUAAC